rnacentral:lncRNA from 1 species
CUUCCCUCACUUCCGAGUCAGUGCUUCUCGUUCUAGACCCUCCCUCCUCCCUGGCAGAUUUUCCUUCCAUGCUUUCCCCUCUCUUUCCAGAGCCUGAAACCAGAGAAGGAGAGGUGGGCCGUGAGCAACCCUUGGUUGGCGCAGCUUGUUCCCGUCUAGUUAGUCGCUGAUGCUACAGUUUCACUUACAGUUUUAUCUUUGAGGAGCUCCAAAGACCUUUUUAGUUCUUACAACAGGAAAAUCAGGGUUUCGUGACUAGAGUCUACCAACUAGGAUAACAGGACACUGUGGCCGCAGCGAUGGAGCCGGGCGUCCUAAUCCAGCUGGAAACAUAGGCUCUAGGAUGGAGGAGAGGCUGUCCACAUGGCCCUGCCCCUCCUCAUCCCCUACAGCCAUGGGGAUGUGGCCACAGAUUGUCCUGGAGGCCAUGGGGCCUCCAGCCAGCCUUCAGCCCCAGCCCCGCUUCUGCCCACCCA